GAUGAACGCUGGCGGCGUGCUUAACACAUGCAAGUCGAACGGAAAGGCUCCUGCUUGCAGGGGUACUCGAGUGGCGAACGGGUGAGUAACACGUGGGUGAUCUGCCCUGCACUUCGGGAUAAGCCUGGGAAACUGGGUCUAAUACCGGAUAGGACCACAUUUUGGAUGGUGUGGUGGAAAGUUAUUCGGUGUGGGAUGAGCUCGCGGCCUAUCAGCUUGUUGGUGGGGUAAUGGCCUACCAAGGCGUCGACGGGUAGCCGGCCUGAGAGGGUGUACGGCCACAUUGGGACUGAGAUACGGCCCAGACUCCUACGGGAGGCAGCAGUGGGGAAUAUUGCACAAUGGGCGCAAGCCUGAUGCAGCGACGCCGCGUGGGGGAUGACGGCCUUCGGGUUGUAAACUCCUUUCGCUAGGGACGAAGCGCAAGUGACGGUACCUGGAGAAGAAGCACCGGCUAACUACGUG
rnacentral:rRNA from 1 species